CAAGUUUACUUGUUCCGUUUUAUGAAAGUGUUAUAUUUUAAUAAUUAUUUUUUAUAUAUGUAAGUUUUUGUGUGAUUAUUUAUUCUUAAGGGUUAUAUUUUUAUUCGCAGUUGUUAGUUUUGUUUAUUUAAGGAAACUUAGAUUCAGUUAAUAAUAACAGGGUUGUUUAAUAUUGUGCCAGCAAACGCGGUUAUACAAUUAAUUCUAGUUAUUUUUUUUGGAUAAUAUUUAUAUUUUAUUUUUUAGAGUAAUUUUUUUUUUAUUAGGUGAAAUUUUAAUUUAUUAUUAUACUUUAAGGUUAUUGUGAAUAUAUGAAAUUCUUCUUUUAAACUAGGAUUAGAUACCCUAUUAUUUUGAAUGUUAAUUAUUUUCCUAGUACUAUUAGUUAUGGUCUUUAAAUUAGAAGAUUUUGGCGGUAAUUUAAUCUUUUCAGAGGAACCUGUCCUGUAAUUGAUGAUCCACGUUGGGUUUUACUUUAAUUUUUAGUUUGUAUAUCUCUGUCUUUGAGUAACUUAUUAGGGUUAUGCUCUUAAAUUAUUAUUUAUAUUAUGUCAGGUCAAGGUGCAGCUAUAUUAAAGGUUGAGAUGGGUUACAUUUAGUGUUAUACUUAUAAGCUACUUAUUUUGAAUAUAUAUGUUAAAAUUGGAUUUGAAAGUAAAUGUUAAUAUCUUUUAAUAUUGAUUUUGGCUCUAAAUUAUGUACAUAUCGCCCGUCACUCUCAUUUAUAAGGUGGGAUAAGUCGUAACAAAGUAAUUCUAUUGGAAAAUGGAGUUGGAGGAAA
rnacentral:ncRNA from 1 species